AAUACCUCAAGUCUUGAUGGACUAUUCCCUGAACUGUAACGAGUAUACUAAGAAGUGUAGGUAUCGAAAGAUUAAGGUGCCUUGCGGGCAGUUAUUCGAAAAGAUGCUUACCUCCUGGGGAGUCUGUUGCGUCAUGCGGCCGUAUAAAUUGGCUAAUGUGUCAACGACAAUGCUAGCCAGAACAUUUUCGACACAAACGAUGGAUCUAGUGCUGCAAUGCUCGCAUGGAUCCAGACUUUAUUCCUGUCAGUUCAUAACAAGAUAUGAAGGGGAAGAGUUUGC